CUUCAGCAGUGAGGAAGGUGGGUAUGUUAAUAGCAUACUCAUUUGACGUUAGCUGCAGAAGAAGCACCGGCUAACUCCGUGCCAGCAGCCGCGGUAAUACGGGAGGGUGCGAGACGUUAAGUCGGAAUUACGUGGGACGUAAAGCGCAUGCAGGUGGUUUAGUUAAGUCAGAUGUAGAAACGGCCCGGGGCUACAACCGUACGGAAUUGCUAUUUAGAAACGUGGACAAACUAGAGUACUGUAGAGGGGGUAGAAUUUCAGGUGUAGCGGUGAAAUGCGUAGAGAUCUGAAGGAAUACCGGUGGCGAAGGCGGCCCCCUGGACAGAUACUGACACUCAGAUGCGAAAGCGUGGGGAGCAAACAGGAUUAGAUACCCUGGUAG
rnacentral:rRNA from 1 species